GUCCACGCCCUAAACGAUGGAUACUCGACAUACGCGAUACACUGUGUGUGUCUGAGCGAAAGCAUUAAGUAUCCCACCUUGGAAGUACGUUCGCAAGAAUGAAACUCAAAGGGAAUUGGCGGGGGUCCGCACAAGCGGUGGAGUAUGUGGUUUAAUUCGAUGAUACGCGAGGAACCUUACCUGGGCUAGAAUGCUGGGAGACCGUGGGUGAAAGCUCAUUUUGGGCAAUACACUGCCAGUAAGGUGCUGCAUGGCUGUCGU
rnacentral:rRNA from 1 species